rnacentral:rRNA from 1 species
GAUGAACGCUGGCGGCGUGCCUAAUACAUGCAAGUCGAGCGAACGGACGAGAAGCUUGCUUCUCUGAUGUUAGCGGCGGACGGGUGAGUAACACGUGGAUAACCUACCUAUAAGACUGGGAUAACUUCGGGAAACCGGAGCUAAUACCGGAUGAUAUUUUGAACCGCAUGGUUCAAAAGUGAAAGACGGUCUUGCUGUCACUUAUAGAUGGACCCGCGCUGCAUUAGCUAGUUGGUAAGGUAACGGCUUACCAGGGCAUCGAUGCAUAGCCGACCUGAGAGAGUGAUCGGGCGCCAUGGAGGGUGAGCGGAAACAUGACGACGGCGAAACGCAGCAGUAAGGAAUGUGACGCAAUAGGCGAGAAUCUGACAAAACGGACGGGCGGGAGAUGUAGAAGUCUUCAGUUCGAAAAACUGUCUUAUGAGUGGAAAACCGAUGUGGCAGGAACUGUACAGGGCGUGACGGUAAGGGGUCAGAAAGCAACGGCUAACUACGUG